rnacentral:rRNA from 1 species
GACAGAGGGUGCAAACGUUGUUCGGAAUUACUGGGCGUAAAGCGCGCGUAGGCGGACCUGCAAGUCGGGGGUGAAAGCCCGAGGCUCAACCUCGGAACUGCCUUCGAUACUGCGGGUCUCGAGUCCGGGAGAGGUGAGUGGAAUUCCUAGUGUAGAGGUGAAAUUCGUAGAUAUUAGGAAGAACACCAGUGGCGAAGGCGGCUCACUGGCCCGGUACUGACGCUGAGGUGCGAAAGCGUGGGGAGCAAACAGG